ACUCAGAACUAUUCAUGAGGUUCAUGAAGAUUGGCUAGUAAAACAAACCUUUUCUUCUUUAUCGGCUUCUGUUUUGGUUAUCAAUGCAGAAUCUGCAGCCGAUCAAGUUUAUUCUAGCUUCUGUUUUGCAAUGACACACGGAUAAAGUUAAACCUUUCAAUUUAAUUUUAUUUUAUUUGCAUUUUCAAGAAUAUUUGAACAGUUUGAACGGAAUUUU